ensembl:lncRNA
AGGACUUGUCUGGGAGGGGAACACCACUGGGGAGCUGCUGUUCUGUGGCAUUCAUCCUGUAAAUCCAGAUACAUUUUUUCUUUGUACUUUUUCAAGAUCGUAUUUACAAAACAUUUGAAGAACAGGCGCAAUGACAGUUUAAUUAAUGUGUGUCAUUAAGCCUGGAGAUAAUCGAAACUCUGGUAAGAGCCAUGGAAAGGAACAGCGCCAGAAGAUGUGUUCUCAGCAGAUUUCAUCACUGGACUCGAGGGAUAUUGUUCUUGGCAAGGAGGAUGUGACUGAAAUCCAAAGGGAUCAAAACGUGUUCUUCUGCUAUC